UGCUAUUUUUCGCAAUAACACACACGCAUCGUCACGGUCGGCGGGGUGCCAAUUCCCGGUGAUUUGGUCGCCGGUCGGGAUGCGUGGAGGCUCAAC
rnacentral:sRNA from 1 species